GAUGAACGCUAGCGAUAGGCCUAACACAUGCAAGUCGAGGGGCAGCAUAGAGUAGCAAUACUCAGGUGGCGACCGGCGCACGGGUGAGUAACGCGUAUGCAAUCUACCUACAACAGGGGGAUAACCCGGAGAAAUCCGGACUAAUACCGCAUAAGACAGGGGUCCCGCAUGGGAAUAUUUGUUAAAGAUUUAUCGGUUGUAGAUGAACAUGCGCUCCAUUAGGUAGUUGGUGAGGUAACGGCCCACCAAGCCAACGAUGGAUAGGGGAACUGAGAGGUUUGUCCCCCACACUGGAACUGAGACAUGGACCAGACUCCUACGGGAGGCAGCAGUGAGGAAUAUUGGUCAAUGGGCGAGAGCCUGAACCAGCCAAAUCGCGUGAAGGAAGACUGCCUUAUGGGUUGUAAACUUCUUUUACAGGGGAAUAAAAAGGCUUACGUGUAGGUUAUUGCAUGUACCCUGUGAAUAAGCAUCGGCUAACUCCGUGCCAGCCGCCGCGGUAACAC
rnacentral:rRNA from 1 species